CCCACUGGGAUGCUGGCCAGAGGGGAACCACUGGGUUUGCUGAGGAAGGCAGUGCCUACUUGAAAUACAAAGAUGGAAAGGCUGCUGGAAACCUUGUGUGUUCCUCGGCCUUACAUCAUUACACAGUGAGAGGCAUCGAGAAGAUGGGAAGUCUGGCGCCAAGGGCAGGCCUCUCAGGAGGGUUGGAAAGAGGCAAGGAGAGCUAAUUGAGGAAGUAGUCCGGGUGUGUUUUAAUGAAGGCCUGGUAAAUUAUGGGUGGCAGAAAGGAGGGAGGAGUAAAACAAGAGGACAAUAGAGAGUAAGAAUGAAAAGGGAUCACUCAAGUAGGUGUGAGGACUAGAGAAGAGUAAAAGUCAGAGAUAAUUUUUACUUUCUGAGCCUGGCUGAUGGAAGGAAUGGCUGUGGAUUUUCCAGGAAUGUAGGGGUUGGUUGAAUUUGGUUCUAGAGAAGUGAAAUCCAAUAGCAACAAAAAAUUGCAACAACUGGGGUAAGUCCAUCACCAGAGGGGGCUGAGUCCCUGGGACAGGGAGGGAUCCUGAACAGAGCUUAACUAGCUCUGCUGGCAUUAUUAGCCUUUGCAGUCUUUUCCGCAUACCAGCUCCCCAUCAGAGCAACACAUUCUUUCUCCAUUAGGUUUACAGCACUAAGAACCUUGUGGUCAGCUUUUGCUCUUCUAGCUGACUAAGAAGUCUUUUGCUUUCAGUGUGGCUUUUGUUGAACACUCUUACGAGUUUAAUUACAAUUUAACACUCAGAAUUUCAGCCUAAUCUGCCCCCUCUCUCCAGUGUUGCAGUGUGUUGUCCUCUGGCUUGCUUCUGGUUAAGGAGGUCAAUCACCCCCAAAAGGCUACAGAAUAGUCGCGUUCUGGACAAAAUGACUGUAAUUAAGAGAGCAACAUUAACUUACCUUGUGUGUGAUUUAUCAUAUGAUUAGUAAACAAAUUACUCUAGUGACAGUUGUUGAGAAGCCUGUAUUAAACUUCUGGUGCAACAGGAAAAAGUGACAAACAGGACAAAGAUUCAUGAGCACAUAUGUUUUAAGCUCUGAGCUACUGUGUGGAAUGAAAAUGGAAAUUAUGAAUUCCACAAUAGGCACUGCCUUGGCAGAUUUUAGUGUGAGAUUAUGCAUGACCACACCUCUUUCACAAGUUUAUGCACGCUUAGGAAUUUUCUUAUUAAGGAUGUUAUACAAUCUGCAUUUUAGUAAGGGCAUGCAAAUGAAUGGAAAGAAUAUUCCCAGGCAAAUUAAUCUUGAUUUAUAAUUAUGCGUCUCCCUUCACUGGGUUAGUGCCAAAUUACUUUUUCUUUUCUGCAUUGUUAAGGAGGGGAGUGUUGCUUUAAGCUUACUGUAACUGGAACUAUGUUUCAUAAACCAGUUUUAGAUCAAUCACACAUAAAUUAUAAGAUUCAAUUAAGAAGCCAUUAACAUAUUUCACAUAAAUAGAAAAUAAAGAGCAAGUUCUGUGUGAAGACAGGAGAUGGAAUGCACACUUCUUUCUUCCUGUCUUCCUGAGACCCCACUAACUCAGCCAGUUAGGGGAUAUUUCAAGGCUUAAACCCAAUACAUGCAGAGAGCUGGAGAAGAGAUCAUUCUGGAAGCUAGAAAGCAGAUGUGUACAUAGUGAGAGAAUAAGCAGAGCUGAGAAAGCUGAAUUCCAAUCAAGCAGAAAAGAAAAUGAAGGACUAAUCUGAUUUACAGAAAAUCAAAGACUUAGAAACUAAAGGCAGUAGGUCUUUGUGGAGGUGAGGAUAAAAGGGGAAUAGACUUAAUAAGGAGGGCUGUUAGGAAUGCUGUUUUAGAAGGAAUUGGAUCCUUAGACUCCUUUCCAGAUCCAUGCACCAUCUCAGAAACUGCCCCUUCCUUAACUGGCAAAGAGUGAUGGUUUAUCUUCAGAAUAAAGUAAAAUAGAUGAUCUGCAAGGAAGAACAGCAGUGCAAUUGAAAGUGAGGGAACUGUACUAACAACGGAGAUAAACGAAUGUAUGCAACGGAGAUAAACGAAUGUAUGCACAUGGGCUCUGGUGACAUAACAUGCCAAAUCCACCUUUCUUAGUUCUGAGUGUAGGACAUUGAAAGCUAGACCUCCACCCUCCUGGUGAGACACUAAGAGUUUUCCGGGAAAUAUGGCUAGUCCACGAAGAAAGCCAUGACACUGGAAAGACACUGACAUCAGAAGUUUCCUCAUUAAACAGCCCACUCUGAUGCUCCUGUAGUGCAAAUCAUAUCAGACCAGCCUGUCUCUUACUCCUCACAGCUUCCAGUCAAUAUUUUAGUAUUUCACUCUGAAAUGUUGUCAGAUGAAAAGACUAUGUAUGCGAUAUGUGAGGAAAGCUAACUUGGAAAAGAGAAAUUAAAGAGAAAAAA